GAUGAACGCUGGCGGCGUGCCUAAUACAUGCAAGUCGAGCGAACAGAUAAGGAGCUUGCUCCUUUGACGUUUGCGGCGGACGGGUGAGUAACACGUGGGUAACCUACCUAUAAGACUGGUAUAACUUCGGGACACCGGAGCUAAUCCCGGAUAAUAUUUCGAACCGCAUGGUUCGAUAGUGAAAGUUGGUUUUGCUAUCACCUCUAGCUGCACCCGCGCCGUAUUAGCUAGUUGGUAAGGUAAAGGCUUACCAAGGCGACGAUGCGUGGCCGACCGGAUAGGCGGAUCGGCGACACGGGAGCUGGGCCAGGGUCCAGACGCCUGCGAGACGCAGCAGUAGGGAAUCGUCCGCAGUAGGCGAAAGUCUGACGGAGCGAGGCCGAGUGAGAGAUAGAGGUCUUGGGAGCGUAAAGCUCUGUUAUUAGGGGAGAACAGACGUGGAAGUAACUGAACAGGGCGUGACGGUACCGAAUCAGAAAGCAACGGCUAACUACGUG
rnacentral:rRNA from 1 species